UAGCUCAAUCGGUAGAGCGUGAGACUCUUAAUCUCAAGGUUGUGGGUUCGACCCGUAAGCUCAUCCUGAUUCUUCAAUCCCACCAUCA
rnacentral:tRNA from 1 species